AUAUGAUGGAGAGUUUGAUCCUGGCUCAGGACGAACGCUGGCGGCGUGGAUUAGGCAUGCAAGUCGAACGGUAUCAUCCUUUCGGGGGUGAGAGAGUGGCGAACUGGUGAGUAACACGUA
rnacentral:rRNA from 1 species